AUAAUAGAGAAUUCACAUGGGUAAAUAUUAAAGAACUAGAAAGUUCUUUAUGAAUUCUCUUAUAUUGCUUGUUCUCAUUAAUUAAUAAACCAACUAAGCUGGGAUUAAAUCCCAUGAAUUCUGGAAAUUUCAAAGGUGAAUAUGGGCCCAUUCACCUGUAAUAUAUACCACAUAAGAUGCAUCUUUGAGAUGGUUACAUGCGCGAUUAUCAUUAACCCGCAACAUGGUGUUUUGCGAGGUAACUUGC
rnacentral:lncRNA from 1 species